rnacentral:rRNA from 1 species
AUGGCGUCAGGUGCACCUGGUAUCAUGCUCCGACACCUUUCCAAAACACUUGCUGUAAGCCCAGCAGUGGCAUCUGGUAUGACCAGCCAGCAUCACCAGCUUCAACAGCGUGCACCAGUGGGUGGCACAUCCAAAGGCAAGGCUAAGCUCAAAGCCGGCCUGCCUUUGAAGCGCAGCGUCAUAGCAAAGAAGGGGGGCGCGCCUGCCACUGCUGGGAGCGGUGGUGCUGGCCGUGGUCGUCGUGAAGCCAUUGAGCGCAUUACUCAGAUUGCAGAGUCUUGUCUGAAGUCCUCUACUCCUCUACGGCACUUGUCCCCCAAGGAGUGUCUUCGCGAGGCAAAACGUGAGGAGCUUGGACUCAUCUCCAAGGAACGACAACGUGAACUUGAUAUUGCCAAGGCUAAAGCCAAGUCCAAAGGUACCAUUGGAGGUGAUGGUGGCCGUGUUCUGAUGGGUCCACCUGGCCUUGACUAUAUCAGUCUUGGCCUUGUAGAUGAGAAGACCAUCCCUACUUAUGAGCUGACAGUUGAGGAUGGUCGGCGUCUUGCCAAAGAAUACAGCCGUGUGCUAAUGCAACGACACCGUGCACGCCAAACUGCGGAAUCAACACUUUUGAGCCUCAAGAAGGAGGCCGUUGCUGCACUCCCCGAGAAGCUGCAAGCUGCUGCUAUGGUUCCUGACAUGACACCAUUCCCUGCAAACCGGUACAUGGCAACACUCACGCCACCAAUUGAAGGGUAUAUUGAAAAGGUGCGAGAUGCUGCCAAGAAGUAUUCUGUGAAAGAGAAGCUUCGCUGA